CCUACGGGUGGCAGCAGUGAGGAAUAUUGGUCAAUGGACGCGAGUCUGAACCAGCCAAGUAGCGUGAAGGAUGACUGCCCUAUGGGUUGUAAACUUCUUUUAUAUGGGAAUAAAAUGUUCCACGUGUGGGAUUUUGUAUGUACCCUAUGAAUAAGGAUCGGCUAACUCCGUGCCAGCAGCCGCGGUAAUACGGAGGAUCCGAGCGUUAUCUGGAUUUAUUGGGUUUAAAGGGAGCGUAGGUGGAUUGUUAAGUCAGUUGUGAAAGUUUGCGGCUCAACCGUAAAAUUGCAGUUGAAACUGGCAGUCUUGAGUACAGUAGAGGUGGGCGGAAUUCGUGGUGUAGCGGUGAAAUGCUUAGAUAUCACGAAGAACUCCGAUUGCGAAGGCAGUUCACUGGACUGCAACUGACACUGAGGCUCGAAAGUGUGGGUAUCAAACAGGAUUAGAUACCCGUGUAGUC
rnacentral:rRNA from 1 species